AGACAGCCGUGGGCCCCUUACAUCUUCCCAUCUUGUCAAUGCCAAAAUAAUUAACCUCUGCCCUCUGGCAGUCGGAGCCGGCUGUUUGUUUACAGUAAUAGAGCCAACAUUUUAUGAAUUGCAGAAGCACUGUGUGCAGUUGUAUCGCAGCUACGUUAUGAUUGGGGAUGACGUGUGACACGUCAGUUCCAGGAUCAUAGCGUUGGCUGUAUCCUGGAGACGCCGCGGCGGGAGAUGACCUGCGAUACGUCACUUCCGGGAUCGCGGCAUCGGGCGGAUCUAUGCUGUUUACACACAAGGAAUGAGAAUCAGGCCAUCAAAAUUAAAGUCCUGGAGAAGAGAAAUGGAACUUUUUUUAAAUUUUUUUGUAUUUUUGCGUAUCCAAUAUUGAUGUGAAGUCUGAAUAAAACAAUGAUGAGAUGAAGUGAAGCAGAGGAGCCGAGACAUGGGAGAGGGCAGGUUAGGUGAGAACGCAGCACAGUCAAGAAUCGCUGGUCUUUAUCUAUGUAGACAAAUAAUGAAUAAAGCAUAAACAGACGGGU